GGAGAUUUAGCUCAAGUGGUAGAGCUCAUGACUAGCAACCACAGGAUCCUAAGUUCAAAUCCUGGUACCUCCA
rnacentral:tRNA from 1 species